AAUAAGCAUUUGCAAAUCGCCGUCUAAAACGACCUGACUUCUCUCUCUAUAUAUAUAACCCAUCCAUCCCACCUCUCUUCACUAAUCGCUUGAUUUCUCUGCUACACCGUCGCCGGAUAGCGAAUUUCACGAAAAUUUAACUCUCAAAUUUGAAUCGUGAAGUAAUAUGCUGGCAUUUUCAUUGGUCUGACUGAUAGCUGCCCAAGUAAUGUAUGCUUUGCGUGUAAGCAAGCAUGGGUUCCGCUUGCUGUGUUACUGCUAGAGAUAGAGCUUUUCUAGAUGAAUCAAGCUGCGAAAAUUUGCAGAGAAAUGUUCGCCAAUCUCCUACAUGGAGCUUUCGGUGGGAUAAUCGGGGACGAGUGGCUGGGGAGGAGACGCCAGUGAAUUGGUCUUCCGAUGGAAUUGGUGGCAAUGACGGAUUAGAAUUUAAAUCUGGAACAACUAUAGGAACAGUGUAUGCAUCUGAAGAGGGUAGUCCAUUGGAUAGUUUCAGAUCACUUGCAUGGCAGAAGUCACCAGUUUCUGAAAGAAAUAAUCGAAACUUUUCACUUCCUUUAUUGGGUUAGUACUUGCAUUGCUCUCCCUUUUGCUUUUGUAUGAAACAAACUAAUAAAUACGUAACAACUAGGUGAUUGUGCAAAUUGAAGAGAAAUAAGAUGUCAAGUUCUGAUUGCAAAUGAUGAAUUUGAAUCGCCUUUUCUUUUUCCCUUUUUCAACUUUGUGAAAUAUGAGAAUACCUAAUUGGAUGGCAUAAUGGUGGAUGCUUUGUCAUCCUGUGUGGGAAAUGUGGAGGCAAAACUUUAUCAAAGAUCACGAGUCCUCGUCAGGAAGAACUAAUCAGCUAAUACUAGCAGACCAAAUUCUCACACGAGAGAUGUUCAUUAGGUUUAAAUGUAGAGAAGGGUUAUGUAUAGAGUUGAUUUUAGGUUAAAAACAGGAGGUAGAGAGCACUGAAAUGAAAUAUGUUGCAUGUAUGUGCUUCUCGGAUUUUACAAUUGUUUAGCCAUACAAUGAGCUUCCUUUUUAUUGUGAAUUUUGUUUGGGUGUCAAGUGCUCUACAAGUGAGCUUUGUUGCUUCUGAGAUGUCUAGAUUUGUCAUAGAGAAGAUUGAGCUGCUGGCAGUGGUGAAUGAUGGCUACUCUGUCUUGAUAAGAGGAUAUUAUCAAAUGAUGAAGUUAAGUAGUGGAGGGGGUUGAAAAUAUAGACUAUUUGCAUGUUCUCCAAUUGGGGAGGUGCUAGUAGCUUAAGCUGAAAAUGUAGUUUCUUAUGCUUCUUGUGGUGCUGCUAUGAUCAACUUUUUUAGAUCAUGGAGCAUAUGAAAUAUUUUGUUUGAAAGGUGGUUGUUAAAAUUAAUAGCUACUUGUCACUUGCUUUAUCUAAGGAUAAAGAAUACUUUAAGUUGUCACUUGCUUAAUUAUAGGGUUGUUGGUUGUUACUUUUGAGUUUUCGGGAACAGAAAUAUUAGGUUUUGUUGGAAUGUCCUCUGCUACCCCUUCAAAGUUGAGAUCAAAUAUUUGUUCUCAAAGAAACUCGCAAUCUCCAAGUUUUCUUGUAUGCCUCAUAUAUAUGCCUUGCAUUUGUAUUUUUAUUAGAGUGAAGUAUAACAUUAGUUAAAUAUGAUGAGUACUUUUUCAUUUUCUUGCUUAUGUAGACUGCUAUUUUCCUCAACCUUUAGGAAAUGUCAACCCUACCUCUUUACUCUGAGAAGAUCAAUUGCUAAAGUACACUUCUCCUCUAUUUUGGACCGCCAUUUUUUAGUCAGAAAUUUUUAUGAACAAUGGUCAAUCUUUGUUGAUAUCAAAGAAGCACUAAGUUAAUGCAUCAAAACAUAGUUGCAGUUCACGUUAAGUAGUUACUGUAUCAAUAAUGCCAUUUACAUUCUCUUGCAAGGCUAUCUAUGCCUCCUUUUUUUGCCAUAAAAGUUUCUCUCUAUCCAGUCUAUCCACCAUACAGCCUGAGGAAUAGUGUUCCAACUGUAACUUGCAUUUUUAUUGAGAUCUCUUUUACUCCCAAAUUUUUGAAACUCUACCGUCGAGUUAUGCAUUGACAAGCUAAUUCUCAGGAUGUUUAGAAAAGGACUCCAGAUUUGAGAG